rnacentral:rRNA from 1 species
GAUGAACGCUGGCGGCGUGCCUAAUACAUGCAAGUCGAGCGAACAGACGAGGAGCUUGCUCCUCUGACGUUAGCGGCGGACGGGUGAGUAACACGUGGAUAACCUACCUAUAAGACUGAGAUAACUUCGGGAAACCGGAGCUAAUACCGGAUAAUAUAUUGAACCGCAUGGUUCAAUAGUGAAAGACGGUUUUGCUGUCACUUAUAGAUGGAUCCGCGCCGCAUUAGCUAGUUGGUAAGGUAACGGCUUACCAAGGCAACGAUGCGUAGCCGACCUGAGAGGGUGAUCGGCCACACUGGAACUGAGACACGGUCCAGACUCCUACGGGAGGCAGCAGUAGGGAAUCUUCCGCGAUGGGCGAAAGCUUGACGGAGCAACGCCGCGUGAGUGAUGAAGGUCUUCGGAUCGUAAAACUCUGUUAUUAGGGAAGAACAAAUGUGUAAGUAACUAUGCACGUCUUGACGGUACCUAAUCAGAAAGCCACGGCUAACUACGUG